UACGUAGGGUGCGAGCGUUAAUCGGAAUUACUGGGCGUAAAGCGUGCGCAGGCGGUUUUUUAAGUCUGACGUGAAAUCCCCGGGCUUAACCUGGGAAUUGCGUUGGAGACUGCAAGGCUGGAGUCUGGCAGAGGGGGGUAGAAUUCCACGUGUAGCAGUGAAAUGCGUAGAGAUGCGGAGGAACACCGAUGGCGAAGGCAGCCCCCUGGGCUAACACUGACGCUCAGGCACGAAAGCGUGGGGAGCAAACAGG
rnacentral:rRNA from 1 species